rnacentral:rRNA from 1 species
UACGUAGGGGGCUAGCGUUGUCCGGAAUCAUUGGGCGUAAAGAGCGUGUAGGCGGCUUGAUAAGUCCGCUGUGAAAGUCCAGGGCUCAACCCUGGAAUGCCAGUGGAAACUGUCAAGCUAGAGUCCGGAAGAGGCGAGUGGAACUCCUGGUGUAGCGGUGAAAUUCGUAGAUAUUCGGAAGAACACCAGUGGCGAAGGCGACUUACUGGACACAUAUUGACGCUGAGGUGCGAAAGCGUGGGGAGCAAACAGG